AUUGAACGCUGGCGGCAGGCCUAACACAUGCAAGUCGAACGGCACGGCGAACGGGUGGUUAAUGCCUAGGAAUCUACCUGGGAGUGGGGGAUAAAUACCGGAAACGGACGCUAAUGCCACAUACUAACAGAUGCGCCUAGGUGGUAUUAGCUAGUUGGUGGGGUAAAGGCCCACCAGGACGACGAGCCGUAACUGGGCUGAGAGGAUGAUCAGUCACACUGGAACUGAGACACGGUCCAGACUCCUACGGGAGGCAGCAGUGGGGAAUAUUGGACAAUGGGCGAAAGCCUGAGCCAGCCAUGCCGCGUGUGUGAAGAAGGUCUUCGGAUUGUAAAGCACUUUUAGUUGGGAGGCGUUACCAACAGAAUAAGCACCGGCUAACUUCGUGCCAGCAGCCGCGGUAAUAC
rnacentral:rRNA from 1 species